UCACGCCGCGGGAGGCGCGGAGGGAGCAGCGGGGGGCUGGGGAAGGAACGAGAGCUGCCGUGGAAGGUUGUCCUGUCAGCGGCUAGCUGUCCUCCUAAUGGCGCUGCUGCCUUUUGUAGUCGUUUUAGACCCCCUUGAACUGUUCGUGUUUCUCCGUCGCUAUUCCAAAUGUGUCUCUUGCUUUUAAUUUUUUUUUUUUUUUUUCCCCCAGAUGAAAGCAAUGGAAAUUGGUCAGUGGCCGGAGCAUGCACCAGCAUGACCGGAAUAUGUACCAAGAGCAUGGUAUCCUUGGCUUUUCUUAUUAAAUGUUUACUCUGUGUAAAAUACUACUUAAUUGUGAAUUUUGAAAUAUUUGUUAACUGAUUAAUUGUUCUUUUUCAUAAGAUACGAAUUUAAUUUUGCAGAGGUAAAGAGUUCCUAUACUGAAGUUUUGGCCUUUGUAUUGCCUAUUCAGUCCUGUCCAGAAUGGAUGUGGUGUCAGAAAAGGCAAACAGGAAUUCUUGCUCAAAACUGGUUUUAUGUACCUGCCUCCUCUCUGUUUUUGCAAGGACAAAAAUCCUGUAGAAAUAGUACGGGUGAGCAGCUGCAUAGUAGAUUUUAUUCUGCAGUCUUCUAAAGUGGAGAAUCAGGCAGUUAUUAAAAGAGGAAAAGCAGAAGUUAUAAUGGGCACUUCUAGCAUUGUUUAGCUGUCCUGUCUGUCAUGAUCUUUACAUCUGCAAGUAAUUGAUAAACAACUUUCCAGGGUUCCAGCUGUGGCCUCUAGUUUUUCUAUUGAUAAAAGAUACUUAGAGCUUACUACUCAGGUAUAGGAAAUAUUAAAAUCUUGUUAAGGUGAAAAAAUGUGUUUUGUUUUUGUAGAUUUGUGGAUUUGUUACUGAGUAUUGAAUAAUAUGUUGUCUACUCUUUUGCUGUGCUUUCCUUGAUGCCCUUUUGAAAGUGUAAAGUAUACUUUGAUAUUGCAAUAUUCCUGCCAGAAUGCUUAAUGCUAGGAAGGCUUCUAACAGGUUUCUAGUGUGUUUUGCUGGAAGUUUAGGAUCUCCCAGAGACAGCCCUGCAUGGUGAAAGCCUCCAAGCAUGAGAAGGGCAUGUAGGAAGAAACCAUCAAGUGCUGAUUGCACAGCUGGGCAAAUAUAAUUAAUUUUCAGUGAAGUGAUGAAGCUCCUUCAAGUUGACCAUGAUGCUGUUGAAAAUAGUAACAUCAGAAAGUUUCAUAAUGAAAUGUGAAAAUCUGCUUGAGCAACACAGAUGCACUGAAUCCUUUACUGCUGGUAGGAAAUGAGCUUGUGAAAUCCAUCCACACCUUCUGCACCCCCAGGCACUGGGGACUUUUGAAGAGUAAGGUGGGAACUCUUUAUAUAAACCUGUUGGACACUGGGAAGCUAAAUGUUCAUGUAAUCCAUUAUUAGUAGUGUGUCUAGUAAUAGGCCUGCUGCUUGUUUUCCAGCAUAAGAUUAUUAAAUUGUGUAUUAUUAGCUUACUGCUUCCAGAGUGUUUUCUAAUGCACAGUCGUAUGUAUGAGGUAGUACUGCAGAAAUUUCUGUUAAUUCCCACUGGCCAGAAAGUGUUACUACUGCCACCAGCUUUUAGUUACCAUCUUAAUUCUUGCUUAGGUGAGCAAAAGGCUCCUUAAAAAAUAGAUUGGCAAACUUUAUAUUUUUGCUUUUUGCCCAGGGUAUUGAGGGGAAGCUCAUCUUUGUAAUUUUGUAUUAGUGUUGGGGAUUUAGAGGAUGUUACUGAAAAGAGCUUUGUGCUGCAUGUGUCUGUCUCACACUGUGUGUUUAUUUUUUUCCCUUAAGAAGAAUUGUUAGAACUGGCCUGAAAGCAAUGCCUGUCUAUGCAAACACUCCUCCCUAAGAAACAAAAAACUAUUCAAAAGAUGGACUGUUAAGCCUCCAUGUAGUAAGACAGAGUACAUUUAACUGCAUUGUGGCAGUGUCUGGUAAUGUUUAUAUAAACUAAAAAUAAAGAUGUAUGUUCCUGUUUUCAGAA